GGAGGACCGUGGCUCAGUGGGAGAGCAUCUGCUUGACACGUAGAAGGUCCCAGAUUCAAUUCCCGGCAUCUCCA
rnacentral:tRNA from 1 species